rnacentral:rRNA from 1 species
GCACCAGACUCCUACGGGAGGCAGCAGUGAGGAAUAUUGGUCAAUGGGCGCGAGCCUGAACCAGCCAAGUCGCGUGAGGGAAGACGGUCCUAUGGAUUGUAAACCUCUUUUGUCGGGGAGCAAAAGACGCCACGCGUGGCGUUCCGAGAGUACCCGAAGAAAAAGCAUCGGCUAACUCCGUGCCAGCAGCCGCGGUAAUACGGAGGGUGCAAGCGUUGUCCGGAAUCAUUGGGCGUAAAGAGUUCGUAGGUGGCAUAUUAAGUCUGGUGUUAAAUGCAGAAGCUCAACUUCUGUUCGGCACUGGAUACUGGUAAGCUUGAAUGCGGUAGAGGUAAAGGGAAUUCCUGGUGUAGCGGUGAAAUGCGUAGAUAUCAGGAGGAACAUCGGUGGCGUAAGCGCUUUACUGGGCCGUAAUUGACACUGAGGAACGAAAGCCGGGGUAGCAAAUGGGAUUAGAUACCCCUGUAGA